CUUUGGGCCAUAUUCUUGGUCUGGUUUCCUUAGCUUGGUUCCCAUCUGAGUGCUCAGUUCGGGUACAGGCUGUAGGUGCUUGGUGCACUCCUGGAGUUACUCUUGGAUCCCUUGAACAACAGGGUUUGGCCCACGAGGGGAAUUUGUGCUGCUUUGUGACAGAGGAGAACUUCCCCAGCUAUUUUGCGUUUGCUGUAGGGAAGGUUGGUUAUUGCUCUGCCUAAAUUCACAGGCCAAUAUAGAGUGCUUGCAUUGUGAUGUCAGGGCAUGGUUGCCAUGUGGUCAUGGUGGCAUCAGAAGGUUGUCUUGGUGCACGGAAGGCCUCAGUGUCAGAGCAGCUCUAGGGCUCGCUCAGGGCAGGAGCAUCCUCCUGCUUGAGGCGUUUGUCAGUGGGAGCUGCCCACAGACAAGAGCCUUGAUUUUUCUGAUGGUGGAGCAAAUCUGCACAGCAGUGCUACAAUGAUUGAGAAGGUUGUUGCUGUAGCUAUUGGAGCUUACGGCGUUUUUUAUUCCAGCUAUUACCUCACUAACCUGACACGUCACCUGAUGCAUGUAAUCAGCGGUGCUGGUCCUAAGAUCUUUCAGGAGCUGGCUGGUCAGAAACUUGCAUCUCUGCCUUGCACUAAAGACAGCACCACCCACAACUGGCACUUACUGGCUCC